GCACUAGUGGUUUAAUGGUAAAAUGCAAGCUUCCCAAGCUUGACAUCCGGGUUCGAUUCCCGGCUGGUGCA
rnacentral:tRNA from 1 species